GCUGGGCAUAGUGACAUAUGCCUAUAAUCCCAGCGGCUCAGGAGGCUGAGGUAGGAGGAUCACAAGUUCAAGGUCACCUCUGCAACUUUGUGAGACCCUGACUGAA
rnacentral:sRNA from 1 species